GAUCCUGGCUCAGGAUGAACGCUAGCGACAGGCUUAACACAUGCAAGUCGAGGGGCAGCGGGGAGUAGCAAUACUUCGCCGGCGACCGGCGCACGGGUGAGUAACACGUGUGCAACCAACCCCGUACCGGGAGAUAACCCGCGGAAACGUGGACUAACAUCCCAUGAUACUCGAGGGCCGCAUGGCUCUCGAUUUAAAAUUCCGGUGGUACGGGACGGGCACGCGCGACAUUAGGUAGUUGGCGGGGUAACGGCCCACCAAGCCG
rnacentral:rRNA from 1 species